AUUGAACGCUGGCGGCAUGCCUUACACAUGCAAGUCGAACGGUAACAGGUCUUCGGAUGCUGACGAGUGGCGAACGGGGGGGUAAUACAUCGGAACGUGCCCGAUCGUGGGGGAUAACGAAGCGAAAGCUUUGCUAAUACCGCAUACGAUCUACGGAUGAAAGCGGGGGUUCUUCGGACCUCGCGCGGCCGGAGCGUCCGAUGGCAGCUUAGGUAGGUGGUGGGAUAAAAGUUUACCAAGCCGACGAUCUGUAGCUGGUCUGAGGGGAUGAUGAGCCACACGGGGAGUGAGACACGGCCCAGACUCUUACGGGGGGCCGCAGUGGGGAAUUUUGGACGAUGGGCGAGAGCCUGAUCCAGCAAUGCCGGGUGCAGGAUGAAGGCCUUCGGGUUGGAAAGUGCUUUUGUACGGAACGAAAAGGUGCCUUCUAAUAAGGGGUGAUCAUGACGGUACCGGAAGAAUAAGCACCGGCUAACUCCGUG
rnacentral:rRNA from 1 species